CCUACGGGAGGCAGCAGUAGGGAAUUUUGCGCAAUGGGGGAAACUCUGACGCAGCAACGCCGCGUGAUCGAUGAAGCCCUUCGGGGCGUAAAGAUCUGUCAGUGGGGACGAAACCUGUCGGUACCCCCAGAGGAAGCACCGGCUAACUCCGUGACAGCAGCCGCGGUAAUACGGGGGGUGCAAGCGUUGUCAGGAAUCAUUGGGCGUAAAGAGUUCGUAGGUGGCACGUUAAGUCUGGUGUUAAAGGCGGAGGCUCAACUUCCGGAGGGCACUGGGUACUGGCGAGCGAGAGUGCGGUAGAGGAAAAGGGAAUUCCUGGUGUAGCGGUGAAAUGCGUAGAUAUCAGGAGGAACAUCAGUGGCGUAGGCGCUUUACUGGGCCGUAAUUGACGCUGAGGAACGAAAGCCGGGGUAGCAAAUGGGAUUAGAUACCCUAGUAGUC
rnacentral:rRNA from 1 species